rnacentral:rRNA from 1 species
AUUUUGACUGUGCGAAGGUAGCAUAAUCAUUAGUCUUUUAAUUGGAGGCUUGUAUGAAUGGUUGAAUGAGAUAUAUACUGUCUUUUUUAAAAUUAUAUAGAAUUUUAUUUUUUAAUCAAAAAGUUAAAAUAAAAUUAAAGGACGAGAAGACCCUAUAGAUCUUUAUUUUUGUUAUUUAUAAAUUAAAAAGAAUUUUAAAAUUUAUAAUUUAAUAAAAAAUUUUAUUGGGGUGAUAUUAAAAUUUAAAAAACUUUUAAAAUUUAUUAACAUUAAUAUAUGAAUAAAUGAUCCAGUUUUAUUGAUUAAAAAAUUAAGUUACCUUAGGGAUAACAGCGUAAUUUUUUUUUAGAGUUCAUAUCGACAAAAAAGAUUGCGACCUCGAUGUUGGAUUAAGAGUUAUUUUUAGGUGUAGAAGUUUAAAGUUUAGGUCUGUUCGACCUUUGAAUUCUUACAUGAUCUGAGU